AGCAGCCAGGCGGCCUGCCGUGCGCCCGGCCCUGCAGCCCUAGCCUCCUUGGAGACACUGUUUGCCUUCCCAGCCUCCGCUUCCUGGCUGCUUGGGGCAAAGCAAUGUUCCCGCACCGCCGACUGCAGACACGACCUGCACCUCUCAGCUACCGUGACCUCUCUCCUAGGGUAGCGCAGUAUGUUCCUGCAGCAGCUCCACGGACUUCCUAAGAGUCCGAGUUUCACGCUUCAGCUCGGGAGGGGUGCACCUCAGGAAGCCACCCAGGCAUUCAGCUACUGCUGGUCCAGAAGCUCGCUUUGAAACUGGCACAAGAGAAAGGACAUGCCAAAGCCACUGGACCAGGUGCAGCCUAAAUUUGCCAGAGCAAGAUCUGCAGAGGAAACGAUUCCAACAUAGUGAUGGCUGGGGUGAGGGGGUGGGGGAAGGGUUGUAAUUCUUCGUCCUGGAUGUCCUAGUAAACCAGAAACUUGUGACACAGUAAAUUGCUUGCUCAGAAAGGGUUUGAAACAUUCCUUGCAAUUAAUAGUAUGGGACAAAGUCUUAAACAGGAAACAAAACUACAGUGUUCAAUGAACCCUUUUUUUGUACUGCCUAUCACACAUAUGAACCUGUUUCAUGAGCAAAAAGCAGGGCCCGUAGAUUCAGAUAGCCUUGUUGCAUUCUAGUAUCCUAUCAGGAGAAUCGAGUCUGUACCUACAGCAGGGAAAAAUGUAAAUUUACAGACUACAGAAUAUACCUUUCACUUUUCAAUAGCAGUAGAAAAAAAUCAAGCAUAAAUUCUUUUUAUACAUGGUCAAUAUUUUCUAAAAUUGUACGUGUUGGUUUCAGCACUUAAGCGGUUCCUGAAAGGGGUAUUUCACUGGUCGAUUUGGAGCUGUAGCACAAUCAAAAUACCAGUAAUAACUCUGAACAAGGUCAUGCUACAGAAGAGAACCCUCAAGCCUGUGACAGAAACAAGCUUUGGAUGCUUCAGAGUCUACAGUAAAAUCUCCCAACUGCAUCUGACUGUCUGAAUUCUGCUUGUUCCACUCAAGCAAUCCCAUUCAUAGAAAAGGGACAAAUCCAGCCCUUGACAUUUUGCCUACUGGGACACGCUCUCUUCUGGAACACCAGCUGGAGGUUCGGUUUUACUCUGAAGGCCUUAUCUAACUCUGAAGUCAGCAGAAACAGGAGGGGGCCGUGCACGUUUAAUAUAAAAGAUCAGUGCUGUGCAAUACAGCAGAAGUAUAUAACUGUUUGUCACUUAAUAACAAUACCUACGCCUCUGUAGCCUUAAAACACUCUCACAUUUUAUAAUCAUUUUGAAAUUAAGGCCUAGGCACACAUUAAAAAACAUUCAAAGUAAAUCAGAAAGUUCAGGAUCAGAUUCCAUUCCUAAUUACUGUAAUUAACGAACAAGUCCCCACAACUUAAGGACUGGUUUGCUCAGUCUUUUUUACACAGACCCCUUUUAUCUAAGUUAAGAACUUUUAAAUAAUCUCUUUCUGCACGAAAACAUAAAUUCCUGUUCAAAUUGUUUUAAUACGGUCUAAAAUGAGACUCCCAGACUCCGACAAAUAAGAGCAUUCUUAUUCUUUCUUUGUCCCUCCCUCAACGGCAACUAAAACGUUUACAAGCUGAUAAUCUCUCAGACAAAUGCCUAUUUCCACAUUCACAUUAACAGAGAUGGAUACCAAAUAUUUCAGAUCUAACAUCAAGAAAAAAUUUCUGUCUUGUUGCUUCACUUCAAUGUGUCCGGGAGUUAAUUCAGCUAAAAGAGGAAGGAUGUCUGUUGCAUAUUAUGGAUCCCUGAAGCAGCACUGCUGUCAACUCUUGAGGGUGCUAUUCUUCCAUCUCAAAGUAGAGGUUGCCUCUAGUAGCUAUAAGCUAGAGAAGGAUUAGAAAAGCUGCUCCAAACUUCUGAACAGCACUAAAAGUCAUUUAUACCAAGUUAGUUGUACUGGUUGCUGUUAGUAGGGAAGGAAACUGAAAAGAAAGUCAUAAUCAUGAAGGAAUGCAAAUAUAUUUGCUUUAUACAAGUGAA